AGUUUGGAAUAUUACUUUUCGAUGGAAUUACAAUGUGAUUGUGACUCAAUACUAUCUUCUUGAAAAACUGUUUAACCAAGAUGAAGCAGUGGGAGGAAAGUUAAGCUCUAAGAAAGUAUCUCUGAAGAGCAAGGAGCUUUAGGAUCUUAAGAACAUAUUAAUUAUGAGCCAGUCGACGUGUAUUCUUCCUCCACCUCGUACACAUAGUAGGAUCUCCAAUCCUCUCGAAAGGUACUUGAGUAUGCUUAACAGAAGAUGUAGAGAAAAUUAUUUCU
rnacentral:lncRNA from 1 species